rfam:Caenorhabditis briggsae complete genome, chrX
CGAUUUUUGUACUACAAUUAGGUACUGGACACCAGCAGCGAGUGUAUCCAGAAUCUAUACUAGUACAAAAAUAGC